ACUGAAAUGAUGGCACCAUUCCUGGAGUUAGGCCUUCAACCAAAGAGCUGGGCCAUCCGUGGCAAUGCCUCCCAGGCUUGGGAGCUGGGAAAAGGCCCCAGGAGCUAGGGCAUCCUGAUUGUUCUUUCAAAGAAAUCCCUCUUGUUCUUAGUCAACAUGCUGGAUACCAGCUAAAAAAUGCAAAAUGAUCUUCAGGCAGGGAUGGCACAGGACCCUUGCUGAGCUGUGAAGCCUGGCUGUGAGGAUUCCUGCAUGGAAACAUCAACAUGUUGCCAGAUUGGUAUACGACUCAACACCACACUGACAUGCUGCUCCCAAACAGUGCCUUUGAAUCAAGACCCAGUCAUCGUAUUCGAAGAAAAAGGAAAUAUCCCUGACCAUGUUGGGACUUAACACUGCUUCACAGAGGAAAAUGAUGGAAGUAAUGGACUUGUAGUACAACAAAAAAGGCCCCAGUUAGGCACUGCAAAGACCCCAGGACUGCCAGUGUUCCAGAUGAUGGAAUGGGUCCAUGGAGUUCCUGGUGACUAAUGCCAUCCACAAGAUCUGAAGGUGUUGUGUAACCUAGACCUGGCCCUUCUCUCAGUGCAUCCCCCUCUCCAGAGUGACCAACUCAGAGAGGUCAUGUGCUUAAGGGUGAGAACCACUACAGGACAAAAAUGAGCUCCUUUUUUCCAGUCUCAGCCCAGGAGGGAUCUUCACAGAGAAAGCAAGCCCAGCCCAUCCCCACAGCUGGCUCCCUGGUGCCCAUUCUGAAAGGCUGGACCCAUCCUGACCUGUCCCUGCCCCAAGGACUGCCUGGUGAGGGAUGGCUUACCAACACUGUGACUCAGUCCUUCCAACAUGCCCAACAGGUCAAUUCUGGGAUAUUCCUUACAGGAAUUAAUGAGAGCACAUUGCCGGUAAUGUUGGCAUUAGUAGAUUACAUUUAAAUUUAAAAAUUCCUUUUAUGGGGUUUAAGAAUAGAGACAAGACACCCAUGCAAUAAAGAAAGGAGGAGACUUUGCCUGGUCUAAUGGAGAAGCUGGAGCUGCAUUGUUGGGUACAGUGGCCAGUGGCUACACCUGGCUUUUGAGCCCUUGCACAGUGGCAAGGACACAUUGAGAUGUGCCCUAGGUGCAAGAUACACACAGGAUUUCAAAGACUGAGUAUGAAAAAAGAAGAAAAAAUGUCUCAUUAAUAUUUUUAUAUUGGUUGCAUGUGGAAGUGAUAACAUUUUGGAUAUAAAGUUGACCUUUGAACAGUAUGGGUUUGAACUGCACAGGUCUGCUUAUAAGUGAAAUUUCUUCUGCCUCUGCCACCCCUGAGACAGCAAGACCAACCCUCCACUUCCUCCUCCUCCUCCUCCUCCUCAACCUGCUCAACGUGAAGAUGAUGAAGAUCAAGACCUUCAUGAUGAUCUACUUCCACUUAAUGAAUAGUAAAUAUAUUUUCUCUUCCUUGUGAUUUUCUUAAUAACGUUUUCUUUCCUCUAGCUUAUUUUGUUGUAAGGAUACAGUGGUAUAUAAUAUUUAUAACAUACAAAAUAUGUGUUAACCAACUCUGCUAUCAGUAAGGCUUCUGAUCAACAGUAUGCUAACAUUUUUGGACAGUAGUUAAGUUUGGGCAGAGUCAAAAGUUAUAGGCAGAUUCUUGAUUGUGUGGGGUAUUGGCAUCCCUAAUCUCUGCACUGUUCAAGGGUAAACUGCAUUAGCUGAAAUAAAGCAUAUUCUUAAAAU
ensembl:lncRNA novel transcript